AUUUAAACCACCUGCUUAAUAUCGUGUUGGUCCCCCUCAUGCUGCCAAAACAGCUCUGAUAUGUCCAUACAUGGACUCCACAAGACCUCUAAAUGUGUCAUAUCUGCCACCAAUGAACAAACACCAAGACAUUAGCAGCAGAUCAUUUAAGCCCUGCGAGGUGGGGCCUCCAUGGAUCGGGUUUGUUGUUCCAGCACAUCCCAUAGAUGCUCAAUCGGAUUGAGAUCUGGGGAAUUUGGGGGCCAAGGCAACAUGUUGAACUCUUUGUCAUGUUCCUCAAACCAUUUCUGGACAAUGUUAGCAGUGUAUCAGGGUACGUUAUCCAGCUGAAAGAGGCCACUGCCAUCAGUGAACACCAUUGCCAUGAAGGGGUGUACAUGGUCUGCAACAAUCUCCAGG